rnacentral:pre_miRNA from 1 species
GUAGCUCAAUUUUGUAUGGAGUUGGGACGUUUGUCUACAUUUGUCGCUAGGGGCGCUGUUCCAACUGCAUACAAAUUCUUGAUA